rnacentral:rRNA from 1 species
GUGGGGAAUCUUGCGCAAUGGGCGAAAGCCUGACGCAGCCAUGCCGCGUGAAUGAUGAAGGUCUUAGGAUUGUAAAAUUCUUUCACCGGGGACGAUAAUGACGGUACCCGGAGAAGAAGCUCCGGCUAACUUCGUGCCAGCAGCCGCGGUAAUACGAAGGGGGCUAGCGUUGCUCGGAAUUACUGGGCGUAAAGGGCGCGUAGGCGGACAGCUUAGUCAGAGGUGAAAGCCCAGGGCUCAACCUUGGAAUUGCCUUUGAUACUGGCUGUCUUGAGUUUGGGGGAGGGGAGUGGAACUCCGAGUGUAGAGGUGAAAUUCGUAGAUAUUCGGAAGAACACCAGUGGCGAAGGCGACUCACUGGCCCAAUACUGACGCUGAGGCGCGAAAGCGUGGGGAGCAAACAGGAUUAGAAACCCUGGUAGUCC